rnacentral:lncRNA from 1 species
CCUGCCUGCAACUGUUGACUCCUGCGGAGCUUUGUGUCUCACUGAUCUACAUAUCCUACAGCUGAAUGUGGAAAAGAUAUAAACUUCUUGUGAUCUUGUCUGUCUUUUCUUCAGAUGUUGUUCAGGAAAGCAGGACAGCCCUUUGACUGUGACCGCUCUGAGAUGAUGGUCUGAGGAGUAGGUGUCUCUGUGGAUGCUGCAUAUCUG